UGGGGAAUAUUGCACAAUGGGCGCAAGCCUGAUGCAGCGACGCCGCGUGAGGGAUGACGGCCUUCGGGUUGUAAACCUCUUUCACCAGGGACGAAGCGUGAGUGACGGUACCUGGAGAAGAAGCACCGGCCAACUACGUGCCAGCAGCCGCGGUAAUACGUAGGGUGCGAGCGUUGUCCGGAAUUACUGGGCGUAAAGAGCUCGUAGGCGGUUUGUCGCGUCGUCUGUGAAAUUCUGCAACUCAAUUGCAGGCGUGCAGGCGAUACGGGCAGACUUGAGUACUACAGGGGAGACUGGAAUUCCUGGUGUAGCGGUGAAAUGCGCAGAUAUCAGGAGGAACACCGGUGGCGAAGGCGGGUCUCUGGGUAGUAACUGACGCUGAGGAGCGAAAGCGUGGGUAGCGAACAGG
rnacentral:rRNA from 1 species